GCAAAAAAUUUAGCCCCACACCAAAUCCAACCAAACUAACCAAAUAAACUAAAACAUUUUUUUACUUAGUACAGGUGAUAGAAAAGUAUAUAGGAGCUUAAAAACAGUACCGCAAGGGAACAAUGAAAUAAAAAUGAAAUAAAUAUUAAGCACCAAAAAGCAGAGCAAACCCCUUGUACCUUUUGCAUCAUGGCUUAGCUAGCCAAAUCAAGCAAAGUGCACUUAAGUUUGACCCCCCGAAACCUGGCGAGCUACUUCAAAACAGCCUUCUAGGGCCAACCCGUCUCUGUUGCAAAAGAGUGGGAAGAUUUUCAAGUAGUGGUGACAUACCUAUCGAGCCACGUGAUAGCUGGUUACUCAAGAAAAGGAUCUGAGUCCACCUUUAAGCUUUUUAAUAACCCAAAAUAAAUAAUUAAACUUAAAAGACAUUCAAAUAAGGUACAGCCUAUUUGAAACAGGAAACAACCUCAAAUAUAGGGUAAUCUUAUAUUCAUGGUCAAGUGGGCCUAAAAGCAGCCAACUUCUAAAAAGCGUUAAAGCUUAACCAUAACAGACACAAAAUCCCAAAAACUUCAUAAAACCCCUAAACGAUAUUGAGUGACUCUAUACUAAUAUAGAAAACCUAAUGCUAAGACUAGUAAUAAGAAGAAGACCUUCUCCUAAAUGUAAGCAUAAGCCAAAUAAACACUACAGGCACCCACCGCCAAUGAACAAAAAGUGGAAACCUCCACCAGAAAACCCCACUAAUCACAGCGUUAACCUUACACCAGAACACUUCAGGAAAGAUUAAAAGGAGAGGAAGGAACUCGGCAAACCACCAAUCCCGCCUGUUUACCAAAAACAUCGCCUUCUGAGCAAUUAUAGAAGGUCCAGCCUGCCCAGUGACCAAGUUAAACGGCCGCGGUACCCUAACCGUGCGAAGGUAGCGCAAUCACUUGUUCUUUAAAUGAGGACUAGUAUGAACGGCAUCACGAGGAUUACACUGUCUCCCUCCCCCAAUCAAUGAAACUGACCUCCCCGUGAAGAAGCGGGGAUAAACAUAUAAGACGAGAAGACCCUAUGGAGCUUUAAACACACCACUACUUAUCUAAAUCUACUUCAUCCAAGACAGAUAAAACUACUGUGCGUUUUCAGUUGGGGUGACUGCGGAGCAUAAUAAAACCUCCACGAUGAAAAACCAAUCCAAGAACAACAGUUCAAAGAAUCAAUAAAUUGACAUCAAUUGACCCAAAUAAAAUAAUUUGAUCAACGAACCAAGUUACCCUAGGGAUAACAGCGCAAUCCAUUUCAAGAGCUCAUAUCGACAAAUGGGUUUACGACCUCGAUGUUGGAUCAGGGUAUCCCAGUGGUGCAGCCGCUACUAAAGGUUCGUUUGUUCAACGAUCAAAACCCU
rnacentral:rRNA from 1 species